rnacentral:rRNA from 1 species
UACAGAGGUCUCAAGCGUUGUUCGGAUUCAUUGGGCGUAAAGGGUGUGUAGGUGGCGCCGUAAGUCGGGUGUGAAAUUUCGGAGCUUAACUCCGAAACUGCAUUCGAUACUGCGGUGCUUGAGGACUGGAGAGGAGACUGGAAUUCCUGGUGUAGCGGUGAAAUGCGCAGAUAUCAGGAGGAACACCCGUGGCGAAAGCGGCUCUCUGGGACGGUACUGACGCUGAGACGCGAAAGCGUGGGGAGCAAACAGG